GUGCUUGCUUUGGCAGCACAUAUACUAAAAUUGGAAUGAUACAGAGAAGAUUUGCAUGGCCACUGCACAAGGCUGACACACACAUUCAUGAAGCUUUCCAUAUUUUU
ensembl:snRNA U6 U6 spliceosomal RNA